GAUGAACGCUGGCGGCGUGCCUAACACAUGCAAGUCGAACGAACGAUAUUGAAUGAAAACCUCGGUUAGAUUUUAAUAAAGUUAGUGGCGGACGGGUGAGUAACACGUAAGUAAUCAACCCAUGACAGAAGAAUAACUAAGAGAAAUUUUAGCUAAAACUUCAUAAAUUAAGACUACGGGAGUAGACUUAAAGAAAACUGAGGUGGUCAUGGACGAGCUUGCGACUGAUUAGCCAGUUGGUGAGGUAACGGCCCACCAAAGCAACGAUCAGUAGCCGACCUGAGAGGGUGAUCGGCCACAUUGGUACUGAGAACGGACCAAACUCCUACGGGAGGCAGCAGUGGGGGAUAUUGCACAAUGGAGGCAACUCUGAUGCAGCAACGCCGCGUGAGUGAAGAAGGCUUUCGAGUCGUAAAACUCUGUCGUAUGGGAAGAAAAAAAUGACGGUACCAUACAAGAAAGCCCCGGCUAACUACGUGCCAGCAGCCGCGGUAAUACGUAGGGGGCAAGCGUUAUCCGGAAUUACUGGGCGUAAAGGGUGCGUAGGCGGUAAUAUAAGUUGGAGUUUUAAACCAUGGGCUCAACCCAUGUCAGGCUCCAAAACUGUAUAACUUGAGUACUGGAGAGGAAAGUGGAAUUCCUAGUGUAGCGGUGAAAUGCGUAGAUAUUAGGAGGAAUACCGGUGGCGAAGGCGACUUUCUGGACAGUAACUGACGCUGAGGCACGAAAGCGUGGGUAGCAAACAGG
rnacentral:rRNA from 1 species